rnacentral:rRNA from 1 species
GACGAACGCUGGCGGCGUGCUUAACACAUGCAAGUCGAACGGAAAGGCCCUGCUUUUGUGGGGUGCUCGAGUGGCGAACGGGUGAGUAACACGUGAGUAACCUGCCCUUGACUUUGGGAUAACUUCAGGAAACUGGGGCUAAUACCGGAUAGGAGCUCCUGCUGCAUGGUGGGGGUUGGAAAGUUUCGGCGGUUGGGGAUGGACUCGCGGCUUAUCAGCUUGUUGGUGGGGUAGUGGCUUACCAAGGCUUUGACGGGUAGCCGGCCUGAGAGGGUGACCGGCCACAUGGGGACUGAGAUACGGCCCAGACUCCUACGGGAGGCAGCAGUGGGGAAUAUUGCACAAUGGGCGGAAGCCUGAUGCAGCAACGCCGCGUGCGGGAUGACGGCCUUCGGGUUGUAAACCGCUUUAGCCUGUGACGAAGCGUGAGUGACGGUAAUGGGUAAAGAAGCACCGGCUAACUACGUG